rnacentral:rRNA from 1 species
GAUCCUGGCUCAGAACGAACGCUGGCGGCGCGCCUAAUACAUGCAAGUCGAGCGAGAAGGUGUAGCAAUACACUUGUAAAGCGGCGAACGGGUGAGGAAUACAUGGGUAAUCUACCAUCGAGUGGGGAAUAACCAGCCGAAAGGUUGGCUAAUACCGCGUACGCCUCCGGAUCUUCGGGUUCGGAGGGAAAGCCACACUGUGAGUGCGGCGCUCUUUGAUGAGCUCAUGUCCUAUCAGCUUGUUGGUAGGGUAACGGCCUACCAAGGCUUUGACGGGUAGCUGGUCUGAGAGGACGAUCAGCCACACUGGCACUGCGACACGGGCCAGACUCCUACGGGAGGCAGCAGUAAGGAAUAUUGCGCAAUGGGCGAAAGCCUGACGCAGCGACGCCGCGUGGGGGAUGAAGGUCUUCGGAUUGUAAACCCCUUUCGGGAGGGAAGAUGGAGCG